UGUGUAGGUGGCUGAGUAAGUCAAGGAUGAAAUCCCGUGGCUUAACUGCGGAACUGUCUUUGAAACUGCUCGGCUUGAGGAUAGUGGAGGAGAAUGGAAUUCCCGGUGGAGCGGUGAAAUGCGUAGAUAUCGGGAGGAACACCCGAGGCGAAAGCGAUUCUCUAAGCUAUUCCUGACACUGAAACACGAAAGCUAGGGGAGCGAACGGGAUUAGAUACCCCGGUAGUCCUAGCUAUAAACGAUGGACACUAGAUAUUCCUGCGUUUAUGUGGGAGUGUCGAAGCUAACGCGAUAAGUGUCCCGCCUGGGGAGUACGGUCGCAAGGCUGAA
rnacentral:rRNA from 1 species